rnacentral:rRNA from 1 species
GACGAACGCUGGCGGCGUGCUUAACACAUGCAAGUCGAACGGUGACGAGGAGCUUGCUCCUCUGAUCAGUGGCGAACGGGUGAGUAACACGUGAGCAACCUGCCCCAGACUCUGGGAUAACAGUUGGAAACAGCUGCUAAUACCGGAUACGAGACGGAGAGGCAUCUCUACCGUCUGGAAAGUUUUUCGGCUGGGAUGGACUCGCGGCCUAUCAGCUAGUUGGUGAGGUAAUGGCUCACCAAGGCGACGACGGGUAGCCGGCCUGAGAGGGCGACCGGCCACACUGGGACUGAGACACGGCCCAGACUCCUACGGGAGGCAGCAGUGGGGAAUAGUUGCACAAUGGGCGAAAGCCUGAUGCAGCAACGCCGCGUGAGGGAAGACGGUUUUCGGAUUGUAAACCUCUGUCCUUGGUGAAGAACAAAUGACGGUAGCCGAGGAGGAAGCCACGGCUAACUACGUG